CAUUGGCUGCAACAGCCAGGUACAUCUGAAGGCACCUGGCAAACAAGUGCGCACACUGCCCCCACUGAUAUCCAUCCAGACCCCCAGUUCAGGAUCCACCCAGACCCCUAGACAGACUGCACCUUUGGCUGCAGCAGACUGGUACAUCUGAAGGCACCUGGUGAGCAAGGGGUCACACUGCCCUAACAGAUUCCCAUCGAGACCCCCAGUACAGGAUCCACACAUAAACCUAGGCAGACUGUCUUUGGCAGCAGCAGCCUAGUACAUCUCAAGGCACCUGGUGAGCAAGGGCUCACACUACCCCCACUGAUUCCCAUCCAGAAGCCCUGUCCAAGAGUCACUCAGACCCCUAUGCAGAAUGUGCCUUUGGCUGCAGCAGCCUGGUACAUCUGAAGGCACCUUGUGAACAGGAGGGCACAGUGCCCCCACUGAUUCUCAUCUAGACCUCCAGUCCAGGAUCCACACAGACCCCUACGCAGACUGUGCCUUUGGCUGCAGCAGACUGGUACAUCUGAAGGCACUUGGCGAUCAAGUGGGCACAAUUCCCCCACUGAUUCCUAUCCAUACCCCCAGACCAGGAUCUACCCAGACUCCUAAUCAGACUGCGCCUUUGGCUGCAGCAGCCUGGUACAU